GUGCUCACUUCGGCAGCACAAAUACUAAAAUCGGAACGAUACAGAGAAGAUUAGCAUGGCCUUUGCACAAGGAUGACAUGCAAAUUGGUGAACAAAGUGGGAGGCCUUACUCUACCUGAUUUU
ensembl:snRNA U6 U6 spliceosomal RNA